GUGAAUCAUCGAAUCUUUGAACGCACCUUGCGCUCCUUGGUAUUCCGAGGAGCAUGCCUGUUUGAGUGUCUUGAAAUCAUCAAACCCCUCUGGUUUCUGCUGGAGCGGGUUUGGACUUGGGGGUUUUGCUGCCUCUGGCGGCUCCCCUUAAAUGAAUCGGUCGGGCUUUCGUGUGGCUUGUCCCUUGGCGUUGUAUCAACCUCGUCCUGGGAUGGCGCUCGACUCGAAGGCCCCUCCAAGACCAGCCUCUGGAGUGGCGGUCAACUUCAAUUUGUGAUCUGACCUCAAAUCAGGUAGGAC
rnacentral:misc_RNA from 1 species